rnacentral:rRNA from 1 species
GGAGGAAAAGAAACUAACAAGGAUUCCCCUAGUAACUGCGAGUGAAGCGGGAAAAGCUCAAAUUUAAAAUCUGGCGGUCUUUGGCUGUCCGAGUUGUAAUCUAGAGAAGUGUUAUCCGCGCUGGACCGUGUACAAGUCUCCUGGAAUGGAGCGUCAUAGAGGGUGAGAAUCCCGUCUUUGACACGGACUGCCAGGGCUUUGUGAUGCGCUCUCAAAGAGUCGAGUUGUUUGGGAAUGCAGCUCAAAAUGGGUGGUAAAUUCCAUCUAAAGCUAAAUAUUGGCGAGAGACCGAUAGCGAACAAGUACCGUGAGGGAAAGAUGAAAAGAACUUUGGAAAGAGAGUUAAACAGUACGUGAAAUUGCUGAAAGGGAAACGCUUGAAGUCAGUCGCGUUGGCCGGGGAUCAACCUUGCUUUUGCUGGGCGUACUUUCCGGUCGACGGGUCAGCAUCAAUUUUGACCGUUGGAUAAAGGCUGAGGGAAUGUGGCUCCUUCGGGAGUGUUAUAGCCCUUGGUCGCAUACAACGAUUGGGAUUGAGGAACUCAGCACGCCGCAAGGCCGGGUACUUGUACCACGUUCGUGCUUAGGAUGCUGGCAUAAUGGCUUUAAUCGACCCGUCU